rnacentral:misc_RNA from 1 species
UCUCCGUAGGUGAACCUGCGGAGGGAUCAUUACCGAGUGAGGGUUUCGGCCCGACCUCCAACCCUUUGUGAAUCAAACCUGUUGCUUCGGGGGCGACCCUGCCGUCCGCGGCUGAGCGCCCCCGGGGUCAAUCAAACACUGCAUUCUCUGCGUCGGAGUAUUAGUAAAUCUAAUCAAAACUUUCAACAACGGAUCUCUUGGUUCCAGCAUCGAUGAAGAACGCAGC